rnacentral:rRNA from 1 species
GCUGGCAGUGUGUAUAAUACAUGCAAGUCGACUGCAUUUAGGUGCAGGGCAGACGGGUGAGUAACACGUUGGUUAUCUGCCCCGAACUCAGGGAUAACAUCGAGAAAUCGGUGAUAAUACCGGAUGGUCCCGCAAGGGUAAAGAUUUUUCGGUUCGGGAGGAGCCUGCGUAGUAUCAGCUUGUUGGUGAGGUAAUGGCUCACCAAGGCUAUGACGCUUAGCUGGUCUGAAGGAUGAUCAGUCACAAUGGAACUGAGACACGGUCCAUACUCCUACGGGAGGCAGCAGUAAAGAAUCUUUCGCAAUGGACCAAAGUCUGACUGAGCAACACUGCGUGGUGGAUGAAGCCUUCGGGUCGUAAACACCUUUUCUGGGGGAANAAAUUUCUGACGG